UUCAAGUGAUUCUCAUGCCUCAGCCUCUGAGCAGCUGGGAUUACAGGUGUGUGCCAACACACAAGGCUAAUUUUUGCAUUUUUAGGAGACACUGGGUUUCUCAUGUUGGCACGGCUGAUCUUGAACUCCUGACUGCAAGUGAUCCACCUGUCUCAGCCUCCCAAAAUGCUGGGAUUACAGGUAUGAGCCACUG